rnacentral:lncRNA from 1 species
AUGCUAUUUUCCAGAUCUCAGCUGACCUGGACUUUAGGCUAUUAACGGAGAUUCCCAUAGACAGUAAAAUACAACAAACUUGCCACCGUGAAAAAGUCCAGAGAGUAUGCUUGUGGUGGGAACAAAGGAGCAGAGAGAAGAGGCUGGCGCCUCGGCGUGAUUAGACCGUCUCCUGGGGCCCGCCGCAACCACGCACACCUCCAGCAGAUGGCGCCACAAGGCAGCACAGCCGCAGGAACAGGAGACUUGGAGUCCAGGAAAGGCGAGUGUCCCA